rnacentral:rRNA from 1 species
GAUGAACGCUGGCGGCGUGCCUAAUACAUGCAAGUCGAGCGAACGGACGAGAAGCUUGCUUCUCUGAUGUUAGCGGCGGACGGGUGAGUAACACGUGGAUAACCUACCUAUAAGACUGGAAUAACUUCGGGAAACCGGAGCUAAUACCGGAUGAUAUUUUGAACCGCAUGGUUCAAAAGUGAAAGACGGUCUUGCUGUCACUUAUAGAUGGAUCCGCGCUGCAUUAGCUAGUUGGUAAGGUAACGGCUUACCAAGGCAACGAUGCAUAGCCGACCUGAGAGGGUGAUCGGCCACACUGGAACUGAGACACGGUCCAGACUCCUACGGGAGGCAGCAGUAGGGAAUCUUCCGCAAUGGGCGAAAGCCUGACGGAGCAACGCCGCGUGAGUGAUGAAGGUCUUCGGAUCGUAAAACUCUGUUAUUAGGGAAGAACAUAUGUGUAAGUAACUGUGCACAGCUUGACGGUACCUAAUCAGAAAGCCACGGCUAACUACGUG